UUAGUCCUAUGGGGGGCAGCAGUGGGGAAUAUUGCACAAUGGGGGGAACCCUGAUGCAGCGACGCCGCGUGAGUGAAGAAGUAUUUCGGUAUGUAAAGCUCUAUCAGCAGGGAAGAAAAUGACGGUACCUGACUAAGAAGCCCCGGCUAACUACGUGCCAGCAGCCGCGGUAAUACGUAGGGGGCAAGCGUUAUCCGGAUUUACUGGGUGUAAAGGGAGCGUAGACGGCAGAGCAAGUCUGAAGUGAAAGCCCGCGGCCCAACUGCGGGACUGCUUUGGAAACUGUUUGACUAGAGUGCUGGAGG
rnacentral:rRNA from 1 species